GUGUCAGCAGCCGCGGUAAUACAGAGGGUGCGAGCGUUGUUCGGAAUUAUUGGGCGUAAAGCGCAUGUAGGCGGGUUGUUAAGUCGCGUGUGAAAGCCCCAGGCUCAACCUGGGAAGUGCGCGCGAAACUGGCGACCUUGAGUGCUGGAGAGGGUGGCGGAAUUCCCGGUGUAGAGGUGAAAUUCGUAGAUAUCGGGAGGAACACCAGAGGCGAAGGCGGCCACCUGGACAGACACUGACGCUGAGACGCGAAAGCGUGGGGAGCAAACAGGAUUAGAUACCCUGGUAGUCCACGCUGUAAACGAUGAGUGCUAGCUGUGGUGGGUAUUGACCCCUGCCGUGGCGACGCUAACGCAAUAAGCACUCCGCCUGGGAAGUACGGCCGCAAGGCUAAA
rnacentral:rRNA from 1 species